AAUGAACGUUGGCGGCGUGGAUUAGGCAUGCAAGUCGUGCGCGAACUGUAGCAAUACAGGGAAAGCGGCGUAAGGGAGAGUAAUACGUAGGUAUCUACCCAUGGGUCUGGGAUAGCGGCGGGAAACUGCCGGUAAUACCAGAUAACGUCUCCGGACCAAAGGUGUGAUUCCACCUGUGGAGGAGCCUACGGCCUAUUAGCUAGUUGGCAGGGUAACGGCCUACCAAGGCUUGGAUGGGUACGGGGUGUGAGAGCAUGCCCCCGCUCACUGGGACUGAGACACUGCCCAGACACCUACGGGUGGCUGCAGUCGAGAAUCUUCGGCAAUGGGCGCAAGCCUGACCGAGCGACGCCGCGUGCGGGAUGAAGGCC
rnacentral:rRNA from 1 species